rnacentral:rRNA from 1 species
CCUACGGGUGGCAGCAGUGAGGAAUAUUGGUCAAUGGACGCAAGUCUGAACCAGCCAUGCCGCGUGCAGGAAGACUGCUCUAUGAGUUGUAAACUGCUUUUGUACGAGGGUAAACGCAGAUACGCGUGUCUUUUUGCAAGUAUCUUAUGAAUAAGGAUCGGCUAACUCCGUGCCAGCAGCCGCGGUAAUACGGAGGAUCCAAGCGUUAUCCGGAUUUAUUGGGUUUAAAGGGUGCGUAGGUGGGUUGAUAAGUUAGUGGUGAAAGCCUGCGGCUCAACUGCAGAAUUGCCUUUGAUACUGGUCGGCUAGAGUGUAGUUGAGGUAGGCGGAAUGCGUGGUGUAGCGGUGAAAUGCUUAGAGAUCACAAAGAACACCGAUUGCGAAGGCAGCUUACUAAGCU